GACGAGCGCUGGCGGCGUGCUUAACACAUGCAAGUCGAACGAAGAGCGAUGGAAGCUUGCUUCUAUCAAUCUUAGUGGCGAACGGGUGAGUAACGCGUAAUCAACCUGCCCUUCAGAGGGGGACAACAGUUGGAAACGACUGCUAAUACCGCAUACGAUCUAAACUCGGCAUCGAGGAUAGAUGAAAGGUGGCCUCUACAUGUAAGCUAUCACUGAAGGAGGGGAUUGCGUCUGAUUAGCUAGUUGGAGGGGUAACGGCCCACCAAGGCGAUGAUCAGUAGCCGGUCUGAGAGGAUGAACGGCCACAUUGGGACUGAGACACGGCCCAGACUCCUACGGGAGGCAGCAGUGGGGAAUCUUCCGCAAUGGACGAAAGUCUGACGGAGCAACGCCGCGUGAGUGAUGACGGCCUUCGGGUUGUAAAGCUCUGUUAAUCGGGACGAAAGGCCUUCUUGCGAAUAGUGAGAAGGAUUGACGGUACCGGAAUAGAAAGCCACGGCUAACUACGUG
rnacentral:rRNA from 1 species